CUCUGUAUUAUCUGGCUAGUGUUACGGGAAUGCUUGAAGUAAAAGUGGACUUAUCUCUGCAUCUCUCCUCAAUUCUCCAGUCACUAAUAUACGUAGUGUUCGUACAGUACGCAGAUUUGACGCAAAAACUACGGUAAAGGGUCUGCCUAUACCUGGCCUAGUAGUACCAGCCCCCCGGAUUGACCGGCCUUACCAUAAUACUGCUCAGAGUGGAUAUCCGUCCUGCUGUAG